GACGGUAACCACUCACCAUCAGGUGGGCC
rnacentral:sRNA from 1 species